CCCGAGCGCGCUGUUCCUUCUUUUUCUCCUUGAAUGAAUACGCUAUUGUCCGGUUGGAAUAUUAUCGCAAUUUUACAUAAAAAAUACCAUAAAGAUUGAUUUUAAACAGCGUUUGACAUGCUUCUAAGUACGGUAAUGGAACAUUUUGACUUUUCGUCUCUGGUACCGCGCUCGCGCGUUAUGCCUUUGGAUAGUACUCUGAACGCACAAACAAAACGGAGGUAUUUGGGCAUAAAUAUGGAUUAUUUGGAACAAAAACAACAUUUCUUGUGGAUGUAGCAGUCCCGGGAGUGCAUUCUGAUGAAGAUCACCAAAGAGGACCUGAGCCCUAGGACCAUGCCUCUGGACUACCUGGCCUGAUGACUCCUUGCUGUCCCCAGUCCACCUGGUCGUGCUGCUACUCCAGUUUCAACUGUUCUGCUUGCGGCUAUGGAACCCUGACCUGUUCACCGGACGCUCUACCUGUCCCAGACCUGCUGUUUUCAACUCUCUAGAGACAGCAGGAGCGGUAGAGAUACUCUGAAUGAUCGGUUAUGAAAAGCCAACUGUCAUUUACUCCUGAGGUGCUGACCUGUUGCACCCUCUACAACCACUGUGAUUAUUAUUAUUUGAUCCUGCUGGCCAUCUAUGAACAUUUUAAUAUCUUGGCCAUGUUCUGUUAUAAUCUCCAUCCGGCACAGCCAGAAGAGGACUGGCCACCCCUCGUAGCCUGGUUUCUCUCUAGAUUUCUUCCUAGGUUCUGGCCUUUCUAGGGAGUUUUUCCUAGCCACCGUGCUUCUACACCUGCAUUGCUUGCUGUUUGGGGUUUUAGGCUGGGUUUCUGUACAGCACUUUGUGACAUCAGCUGAUGUAAGGAGGGCUUUAUAAAUACAUUUGAUUGAUAUUCCACAAGUUACCACCGGCUAAAUCUAUGACUUUGAAAUGCCUAUUUACUCUGUUCUAUCUGAUUGCGCAAUCCACUGUCUCAUCAACCCAGGCAGUGAAGUUAUCUCCACUAUAAAAAGCAUCUGGACAUUAUCUCCCAUUUGUUUUAGACUAACAUUUCGUUUUCAACAGUGGAGAUUUGUACUAACCUUGCUGUCUGUCUCUCCGACAUUUGCAACAUUGUUUCAAUAUUCAAAUUCGAUCACCAACUGUCCCAUAGCACAUGUAGGGAUCGGGAGUCGGGACGAGAGAGAGGCAGGCAGGGUUUCUCAUCCAGUCGAAAUAAUGAAUCAGCUGGCAUCAUUUUUAUUGAUAUAUUCAAAGAAAUGUCAAUUGAAAAAAGGUCAAAUGAAAUGAAGUGUAGCUAGUUUGCAGUCUUUCCAGCUUCUGUUUGAAGUGAUUGUGUUAGCUGUGUUGUUGGCUAGCUCCUCUGAACAAUAGUGUUCUAAUGAGAGCGCACAUUUUCUAUACCAGGCGAAAUCAUGCUUCAUUAGCUCAUUGUUAUGGAUGUAUCCAAAUAAAUGUCACUAGAAAACAGCUUAAACAAAUGCAGCUACUGUUGUUAUUCUGUCUGCGCUGUUUGACGUGACAGCUAGGCAAUUAGCCACAGUUGCCUAUCUGGCAAGCAAGGGAUAAGAACUUUCCAGCCAGUAUGGCAAUGGAACAUUUAGAACGAACGACUGGGUCGCGUCCAUAGAUACAGAACAAAAAGACUGAACAACUGGGUCGCUUCGCUGGCAACCGAACCAAUAGAACGAACGACCAGCCGGCUUGGGUAGCAACCUUAGAUUUGUUUUUGAG
rnacentral:lncRNA from 1 species